rnacentral:miRNA from 1 species
CAGCAACUAAAGAUCCCUCAGG